GGGGUGAGAGGAGAAACCUGCCGCCGCUCGCCGCCUCUUUGUCUGCUCCGGGACUUGGAACAAAAGGGGGAACUCUGAUGAACUCUCUCUCCGCCCCUCUCCCCCGGACGCGCGGGUAUCUCCCUCUCGCAACUUUGUCGCCGCGACUUUCUCCGCUGUCAGGCCAUACAAAAGUGUCCGAGCGCCUCGAGGACCGCGACAAGGGAAGUGUCUCUUCAAAGUGCGACCAAGUGGGGAAGAAGGUGUGAUUACUGUGGUCAGCAUCUAGAAAACAUCAGAAGUGCUCCCACCUCCUUCUCUGCAUCCUUCUUACUGGAUCUUUCUGUCAGUGAACAUUGUGGAAGUACCAUUACCACAUCGUCAUUCCUGAAUGAAAAGUUGCCAAACUUUUUUCUUUGGAGUUGCUUCAAAGUUGUUGGGAUUUUUGAUGAUGCCUUCCCUAUGUGGAUUACUACUGUUUGAUCACUGGGAAUUGUCCAUCUUAAAGAAGAUGAUUUUGCUAUCUGGAAACUUAUGCCCACGUCUUUGACUGCGGGUCAGAAUUGCUUUCCUCACAGUCUGAUUGGGAGAGUUGUUAAACCUUGGAAUGUUCUUCUGAGC